ACCUGGGUGGCUCAGUCGGUUAAGCGUCUGGCUUCGGCUCAGGUCAUGAUCUCGCGGUCCGUGGGUUCGAGCCCCACAUCGGGCU
rnacentral:tRNA from 1 species